UACAGAGGGGGCAAGCGUUAUUCGGAAUUAUUGGGCGUAAAGGGCGCGUAGGCGGCCUGGCAAGUGGAUGGUGAAAUCCCUCGGCUUAACCGAGGAACUGCCAUCCAGACUGCUUGGCUUGAGACCGGGAGAGGUGAGUGGAAUUCCCAGUGUAGCGGUGAAAUGCGUAGAUAUCGGGAGGAACACCAGUGGCGAAGGCGACUUCCUGGCCUGUUCUUGACGCUGAGGCGCGAAAGCUAGGGUAGCAAACGGG
rnacentral:rRNA from 1 species